rnacentral:rRNA from 1 species
GUGCCAGCAGCGGCGGUAAUACGGAGGGUGCAAGCGUUAAUCGGAAUUACUGGGCGUAAAGCGCACGCAGGCGGUCUGUUAAGUCAGAUGUGAAAUCCCCGGGCUCAACCUGGGAACUGCAUCUGAUACUGGCAGGCUUGAGUCUCGUAGAGGGGGGGGUAGAAUUCCAGGUGUAGCGGUGAAAUGCGUAGAGAUCUGGAGGAAUACCGGUGGCGAAGGCGGCCCCCUGGACGAAGACUGACGCUCAGGUGCGAAAGCGUGGGGAGCAAACAGGAUUAGAUACCCUGGUAGUCCACGCCGUAAACGAUGUCGACUUGGAGGUUGUGCCCUUGAGGCGUGGCUUCCGGAGCUAACGCGUUAAGUCGACCGCCUGGGGAGUACGGCCGCAAGGUUAAAACUCGAAAUGAAUUGACGGGGGCCCGCGACAAGCGGUGGAGCAUGUGGUUUAAUUCGAUGCAACGCGAAGACCUACCUGGUCUUGACAUCCACGGAAGUUUUCAGAGAUGAGAAUGU